rnacentral:rRNA from 1 species
GACGAACGCUGGCGGCGUGCUUAACACAUGCAAGUCGAACGGAAAGGCCCUGCUUUUGUGGGGUGCUCGAGUGGCGAACGGGUGAGUAACACGUGAGUAACCUGCCCUUGACUUUGGGAUAACUUCAGGAAACUGGGGCUAAUACCGGAUAGGAGCUCCUGCUGCAUGGUGGGGGUUGGAAAGUUUCGGCGGUUGGGGAUGGACUCGCGGCUUAUCAGCUUGUUGGUGGGGUAGUGGCUUACCAAGGCUUUGACGGGUAGCCGGCCUGAGAGGGUGACCGGCCACCAUGGGACUGAGAUACGGCCCAGAGUCCUACGGGAGGCAGCAGUGGGGAAUAUUGCACAAUGGGCGGACGCCUGAUGCAGCAACGCCGCGUGCGGGAUGACGGCCUUCGGGUUGUAAACCGCUUUCGCCUGUGACGAAGCGUGAGUGACGGUAAUGGGUAAAGAAGCACCGGCUAACUACGUG